rnacentral:lncRNA from 1 species
AAUAUAAAAGUAUAACAUGUGUUAUGUUACAGAGUAUGUAUGAAUUUCAUGAUCUCUAUGAUGUUAUUGUCUCUAUAGGUUGUUUUCAUAAAUCUCACUAAGGUAAGUGGACAGUAAGGGUUUUAUUAUUGAUAAAUGAAUUUGUAAAAAAAAAUGUGCUCCAUUGGUCGUUUUUAUCUUUCUACCAACCUUUACUUCUGUGGCAAUGAUAUAGUGUGAC